AGCCGCCGCGGGGACUAUUUGUCCUUCCGCGUGCCGCGCUGCGGCCCCGGCGCCGACGUCGACCGGGCUGAGUGGCAGGAGAUUAGCCAAGGGCUUUCCCCGCCGCGCGCCCCCGGCCAAUCGGCGCCGCGCGGGCGGUGCUCGAGGGCCGCGCACACGCACAUUCCAGGAUCCACGCCUCACGCGAACGGCCUCCACCCCGCGCACGCUCCCUUUCCCACCCCGCCCUGGCGGCAGCACGCGCGCCUCUCCUCGGGGCCUUUUCCAGGUUCAGGCCUGGAACCCCGUCCCUUGGGCCCCAGAUGCUGCUCUCUAAAGUGAAAGUGAAAUGAGGAAAGAAGGCCAAGUGGUCUGUAGGGGAAGGGUAAUUAGCAUCUGUGUCAAGGUUUACACUACUGCUCCACCGUCCAGGCUUGCCUAACAGAUGGAGUGAAGCUACAGACACUCACUGAGGAGGAAGAAAGAGGACAUCCCUCCUGAUUCUUUAGAGAAUGGGUGGAGAACUCUUGCAAUAUCCUUGAGUGUUCUCUAGUAAGAGGAUCUUAAACUGGUGGAUUUCUCACUGGGCUUUCUGCUGUGGUCAGAGCACUCGAUACAUCCUUUCUCCACCAGGAAGAAAAAAAAAUGCAACCCUCUCUCCACACACUGUCAGACUUAGACGAGGCCACAAUUGACAUACAUGCUUGAAGGAGAAAGUGCGCUAUUGUGUCUUGUUUUUCCUUUUGAAUUACGUCCUCCUGAGACUGUGGCUGACCCUUAGGCCCAUGGCAGUCCUGAAUGUGAUUGACAUGUGUGAUUAGCAGGCCAGUGAGAGAGAAGCAGGGAAAUUGCUAUCAAAACAAUUACAUACAGGGACAUCAGAACAAUGGCUUGAGGCCCCCAGGGACUUAGCGACCAUCCUAGCUCUGCCACGGAUGCCCUCUGGGACCGUGGCCAAGUCAGAUCAUCUCUUUGUGUCUUCGUUUCCUCCUGUUUGGGUAUCAAAAGUAUACUUAUCUCAUAAAAUGAAGCAAGGAUCUCUUCUGUCUCUUUACUGAAAAAGUCUGUCUAAUACAGGAAAUAAAUUUUGAAGAUUUGGUUAAACUCACCUAUGUGGUUAUGGUGCCAUGACUUGGACAGAAUUAAAUUCAUCAUCGAACCCCUGGAAACUCUCCUCCAGGACCCAAAGGGUAUGCUUCUGAAGACUUUGUUUCACUCCUGACUGAUUAGAGAUCCAUUGGUGAGUCCAACUCCUGAGCCAGUGCUCAGGAUGAGAGACUGUUGAAGCAUGAAAUUUUCCUCAUUAAAUGUCGGAUUAUUUGCACCAUCCAGUAAAUACCCUCUACUCCCAAGUCCCAACAGAUGGUUCAGCUGGUCCUUAAUAACAAAAGGAGACUGAACAAGAAAUGAACUUAAAUUGUUCAGAGGAAAGAAGAAUGUCUGUCUUUUCCUUGAUCAGGAGGAGGGACUGACAAAGAUUCUCAGGCCUCAGUCUUCGCCCUGUCCUUCUUUGGCAUACCUAGUCCAGUUUUAACAAGAAUCCUGCUAAGUAAGUUUAGCAAGAGUAUCCCCAGCACUGAUAUCUAAUCACCCCCCAUGUCUGGUCAAGUCCCUCAUCCCUCACCGUUGAUGUGUAAGUCCAUGACCAGCCUUUUACAGGAAUCCUUUUAAAAAAGAACUCCUGUGCUCUUGAUGUCUCCUGUUAGUAGUUUUCCACCCACUGACCCCUCACUCUGCACAUUGACUAAUAAAUGCCCACUUGUCUUUGUUGUAUUGGGAGUUGAAUCUGAUCUCUCUCCUAUUGCAAUAGUCUUGAAUAAAGUCUC